rnacentral:lncRNA from 1 species
UUAAAAGCACGCUGUAGAGAGUCAGCUGGGCAGAAAAUUCCACCAUUGUCACCUUGGUAAUCCGUCUGAUCCUGAGGCUGGAACUGAUCAGCAGCAGCAGUAGUAGUAGUAGUAGUAGUAGUAGUAUAGAACCCUCCACCGAAAACUGCGGAGCAAUCUGCUGACGACAGUACAGCAUUCAUAGGCAUGAAAGUGGUCAUGGAAGGGGCGGCGGGGCCAAGGUACGAGCAAGAAGGGGAGGAAGGGUUGAGGUGUGGAGCAUAAGAUGAUGAUGAGUUAGGGAUAGAGGAAAAGCAAUCUUCUUCCAAGACCGAGUUCAGUAAGGAAUUAGGGAGCAUGAAUUGUGGGACUAGAGCAGCCUGCUGAUCAAUCGCUGGUGAUGUUGAGUAGUAGUUGGAUGAGAAUCCGCCAUUAACGUGAUGGUCAGAGAAUGGAAGGUGUUGCUGGAUAGAUGUGAAGUCGAAUUGGUGGUUGAAGAGGUGAGGAACAGAGAAGGCAGGGGAAGAGGAGAAGUCGAUCGAGGCAGAGAUGUCGUUAUCUAGCUCAUCCUGCGACUCGAAUAGAAUCGAGGACAAGUUGCUGCUGUUGGUGUUGCUUAGGUUGGCUGCUGUGGCUGUGGUUGUGCUACUGGUCGUUGGAGCAUUGUUCUGGUUGUUGUUGUUGUUGUUGUUAGUACUGUUAGUGGCGGUGUUUGUGUUGGGAUGAUUGUUGUUAUCCUGGCAUG